rnacentral:rRNA from 1 species
UACGGAGGAUCCAAGCGUUAUCCGGAUUUAUUGGGCUUAAAGGGUGCGUAGGUGGCUUGUUAAGUCAGGGGUGAAAGACGGUAGCUCAACUAUCGCAGUGCCCUUGAUACUGAUGGGCUUGAAUAAACUAGAGGUAGGCGGAAUGUGACAAGUAGCGGUGAAAUGCAUAGAUAUGUCACAGAACACCAAUUGCGGAGGCAGCUUACUAUGGUUUUAUUGACACUGAGGCACGAAAGCGUGGGGAUCAAACAGG